UUAGAUACCCUAUUAUUUUAAGCUAUAUAUUGGUAGUAAUUAAUAAUUUAUGAAAUCAUAAGAUUUUGGCGGUAUUUUAAGCUUAUUAGAGGAAUUUGCUCUGUAAUGGAUACAACGCCUUAAUCUUACUUAAUUUGGUUUAAAAGUCAGUUUGUAUACCACUAUAUUUAAUUAUAUUGAAUAAUUAUAUUUAAGAUUUUUUUUUAUAAAAAAUAUAUUAAGUCAAGGUGCAAUUUAUAAUUAUGAAUGAAGUGAAUUACAUUAAUUUUAAUUUUACUUAAAUAUUGAAAAAAAAAUUAUAGGAUUUAAUAGUAAAA
rnacentral:rRNA from 1 species